UACGAAGGGGCUAGCGUUGCUCGGAAUGACUGGGCGUAAAGGGCGCGUAGGCGGCUCAUACAGUCAGAUGUGAAAUUCCUGGGCUUAACCGGGGAACUGCAUCCGAUACUGGAUGGCUUGAGUUCGGGAGAGGGAUGCGGAAUUCCAGGUGUAGCGGUGAAAUGCGUAGAUAUCUGGAGGAACACCGGUGGCGAAGGCGGCAUCCUGGACCGACACUGACGCUGAGGAGCGAAAGCCAGGGGAGCAAACGGG
rnacentral:rRNA from 1 species